GGGUGUAGUUCAGAAUCAAGGAUCAUUGUGUCUAACCUCUUCCUUGUAAAAGGAGGAAACUGAAGUCAAGAAAAGGGAAGGGAUUAUUUCCCAAGGGUCAGCUGGGAAGAUGGCAGAGUAGGAGGACCCUAAGCUCACUUCAUCCCAUGGAUACAACUAGUUAUUUACACAUCAGUGUAAAUAACCCAGAAAACCAUAUGAAGACUGGUAGAACAAACUCAUAACUAAAGGUAGAGAAGACGCCACAUCAAAGAAGGCUUUCAGCGAUGGUCAGUAACCAAGCAGCCUCAGAAACCACUAGAGGUCGUUCAGCCCCAUCUGGCACUGCACAGUGGAACUGUGUUCAUCCAUGAGUCCUUUCCUCAGUUUUCAAGGUCACCUGCAUCAUCAAAGUUGGAGGCUUACGUGCAGAGAAGGACUGAUGUGGGUUCUGGUUCAUCUUAGCUCUACUGGUACAAAGUGGGGUGCUAUAAAAAUAGCCUCUUUUCAAGCCCAGAGACUGUCAUCCAAACUGUCGACUAACCAUUGAAAUCUCAAUCAUCCAAACAGGUGAAGGAUUGUCUCUGUGAAAAAUAAAA